rnacentral:lncRNA from 1 species
AAAUUAACAAACAAAUUAACAAACAAACUGAUUCUUCUGUCCAUACUAAGUUCAAAAUGGAAAUAAUCAUCCCGGUUGAAAAUUCCAUGGAUAGAGUUACAAAAUGCGUAUCCGACGGUGUGUAUGACGAUCACCUAACAUUAAACUACCAAAUAAAUGAACAUAAUGCAAUAAAAACAAGUAAUAAUCACACGUUAGUAUAUACUAAUAAACAAAUUAAAAAAAAAAAAAAAAAAAAAUUAAAACAAUUAAAAAGCAUAUGAAUUUGUUUUUAAAAAAUUAUAAAUUAAAAACUUUUAAAAAUAAAAACAAAAACAAAAAUAAAAAUAAAAGUAAAAAUAAAAAAUUUAAUUUGUUACAAAAAAAAAGUAAAAAAAAGCAAAAAAUGAUGGAACUUGACUAUAUAUCAAUUUUCGAUUCAGGAAAAGAGUAUUCCAAUAUAUAUAAAGAAAAUAAACAAUUCUUAUAUAAUAUAAAUAGUUAUGGUAAUAACGAAAUGGUGAAAGACUGCUCCUAUUCAAUUUUUUUUUAUAAGUUGUUUGUUCAAGGCUGUUUUUUGAAUAAAUUCGAGUUGGAAACGGAAGAAUGUGCAGUGCUGAAUGAAAGUAGACAACCGCAUAGGGAAACUAGUAGUGCAAUUAACACUACCAGUACCACUAACAGUAGUAAUAGUAUGAUUCAAAAAAAAGAGACCAGAAGUGACGUUCCUGAAGAGACACACAACAACACAAACGUAAGUGACAGUAAUGCAAAUAUCAACAUACAUGUCUCUAGUACUAACAUCAAUGAUAAAAACAAAAGUAAUUACACUCUUGUAAAAACUAGUGAACUUAAAAAUUACAUCAACGAUACCGAUGACAAUACCAGUGAUAUCAGUAAUUACACUAUUGAUAUGACUUAUAAAAAAAAAAAAAAAAAAAAAAAAAAAAAAAAAUGUAAAUAGUAAUAUAUUCUUUUUAAAAGGGAAAGAUAAAAGGAUGUUAAUUUCGAAGUAUAUAAAAACAAUUUUAAAUAAUUUAAAAAAUGAAAACAAAAUUUAUACUAAUUUUAGUAUAAUCCAUUAUGCUGAGUUACAAUUAAGUAAACAAAAAAAAAAUUCUAAUCAAGAUAAUAAUAGUGCAAAUGUAAACAAUGUACAAGUAGAAACAUCAUAUAGCAACCAAAUCGAAUGUAAUAUAACUCAUAAUGACGGCACUAAUAAUACUAUUAUGACAACUGACACGGUUACAACGGCCAAGACCACAAUCGAUACGGCUACAACCGACAUAACCACAACCAACACAACCACAACCGACAUAACCACAACCGACAUAACCACAACCGACAUAACCACAACCGACAUAACCACAACCGACAUAACCACAACCGACAACAAUGCCCUCCCAAUGGACGAAACCUUGUUCACCAAAAUAUUAAACACAUUCAUCUCAGAACUAAAAACUUUUUUUUUUUCAAUGAUAGCUAAAGUGAAAUCUAGCCAACUGGUCGCAAAGUUUAUUCUUUCUUUUUCUGAAAUAUGUUUAAUAAUAACCCCAUAUUAUGUGAACACAAUCAAUUUUAUAGAAAUUCUAAGUGAGUUUUCCAAUAUUAUACCUAUCAAGUUUAUAGAUAAAUUUAUUAUGUUUUUUGAAAAAAACAAAACUGAUUUUAUACGUAAAUAUAAACAGUUUAUUAAUUCUGUGAUAUUUAAUGAGCCAAUAAGAAUACAAUCCAUUGGUGCUAGGUUAAUAGGGCUUAUUAAAAUAUUACAAAAUAAACAUAAUAAUUCAAAUCAAAAUAAAAAAAAAUCACGACAUAUUUUUUUUCUUCAUUUAUUACUAUCAGAAUGUUUACCUAUUCAUCACUUAGGCUUUUGUAAUAGACAAUCGAUGAAAAAUAAUAUUAAUUUUUUUUUUUAUGACACAUUACAACGACAUGAAGCUUAUUUAAAUGAUCAAACUAUUUCUUAUAACAAACUAGAGUUGAGUAUACAAGAAAAUAUAACUAAUUUAAAAAAAGUUAAAAAUAUUAUUCAGGAUGAGUUCAACAGGGUAUUAUUACUGUCUCAUGUAGUGCCUCCCGUUAUGUUAACCUCUGUGGGGGAUACAACUUUUGAUUCGAACAAAACAGAAGAUUAUAUUACUUCUUCCUAUUUGAGUAAAAACAAAAUAGAGAAAAAGCAGAAAGAAUCAAUGAAUGAUCAUUUCAGUUGUGAUGUUACAAAUGCAACUAUCGAUUAUAGCGAUAGUGACUUCAACAGUGAAGCAGAAAAAGAUAAGAACAAGUACAAAAACAAAAACAAACAAAAGAACAAUAACACAAGUGAAAAAACGAAAGAAGCCUUAGCGUUAGAUUCCAAUGCAAUAACAAAUAAAAAAAAAGUAGUUAAAAGGAAUAGAGACUCUGUUAAUAACAAUGGUAAUGAAGGAGAAGACACAUAUAAUGACCGAUACAUAAUAAAAAAACGAAAAUUGUUUAAUAAGAAUGAACUUUGUAUAAAUUUUAGCGAAGAAAGCAAAAAUUAUAACGUUUAUUUGGCAUAUGUAUAUUUAAUUUUAUUCAUUAAAUUUCCUGAUAUGUUUAUUACAACAAAUUGUGCUGAUUUAAAAGAAAUAUACAAAGCGUUUCAACUUUUUCAUUUGUAUACAAAAAAUACGAAUAAAAAAAAUAUAACAUGUAUAAAAGAUAUUAGUGAAUAUUUAUAUAACGCAGAUUUCGAUUUUAUUGCUAAUAUACAUAUAUAUAACAUAGCUAUUCAAGACAAACAAUUUCUCAAAGUUUUUAUGUUUAAUAUACUUUUGUCACUUCAGUAUUUAAUUAGUGAACUUGAUGUAUUAACUGAAAAGAUAAAUUUUAACGAACAAAUGAAUCAAGAAGAACAAUAUAUAAAAAAAAAAAGAAACAUAAAAAAUAGUGAGACCAAGGACAAAGAAAGUGUUUCUUCCGUUAUUAUAAACAAUAUACCAAUAUCAACAUCCACUAAUAUGAAUGAGUUGCAUUUGCCUAAAACAAAUAAAAUGAAUCUAGAACAAAAUACAACAUAUAAUAAUACAUCUACCUCUAAAAUAAAUAUAAAAAAUAAAAAAGAAGAUAUGAGAUGUGACCGUGACAAUAACACAAAUCGUGAUGAUACAAAUGUUGUUGUUGAUAGUAAAGGAAAAACAAACAUGAACACUAAUGUCCACAGUAAUAACAACCAAAAUAUUAGUAGUAGUAGUAGUAGUAAUAUUAUUAGUAGUAGUAGUAAUAUUAUUAUUAGUAGUAGUAGUAGUAGUAACCCUGUCAAAAAUAAAGAAAGAGGCAUAAUAAAAACAGAUACAAUUGAAAAAAUAAAAAACAAUAAUCAGUAUAAUAGUACUAGUACAAACUUAAACGAACUCGAUAAUAAAAAUAAGGAGUCAUGGAAUAUAAAAAUGAAAAAAAUUAUUAACUUAUUUAUAAAAGAUGUUAUGGAAUGUUUAGAUUAUUUUGAAGAUGUUGAUUAUUUUAAACAACUAAUAUAUACUGAAUAUUGUUGGGAUACAUGGAAAAAACAAUUAACCAUAAAAUCUACCAAAGAAAAUAAUUAUACAAAUUUUGAAUUCAAAAGCUAUCAAGAACAAACAAACAAACCAACAUUUCAUAACAAUGUUAACGCAAAUAAAAUUAUACAUAUAAAAAAUAAAAACGAUAAAUAUCAAGAACAUAAAGAAAAAACUCAAAAUAAAUCUUUAUCACCCAUACUUAACUUAAUAGAAUUUGUAAACUGUUUUGAAAUUUUAAAUAACAACAUGACACAAUAUUAUAACUAUAAUGAAAAUAAUAAAAAUCUAACCAAAUACAAAUAUAAGUAUACUAAAAUCGUUGCACGUGAUAGUAGUAACAUGUUGACAAAUGCGGUUGGUGCGACUGACAUGGUUGGUGCGACUGACAUGGUUGGUGCGACUGACAUGGUAGGUGUGACUAAUAUGGUAGAUGUGACUAGCAUGGUAGAUGAGAUAAACACAACAGGAACGACUAACAUGAGAAGUACUACGAUCACAACACGUGACCAUCAUAGCCAUAACAACAAAACGUGUGAUAAGUUAAAUCAAAUAAACAAUUUUCUAUUGGAAAUUAAUAAAAUUUAUUUGAGACGAGAAGCUGAAUAUUGGGAACUAGAUGAAAGUGACUCCAUUACUUAUGAAAAAAAAUGUGAAAAUGAAAAAAA